rnacentral:tRNA from 1 species
GCCGGACUAGUAUAUUAUAGUAUAAGUGGAUUACACCCACUAGGGGUUUGAUUUGGACCGUUUGGCU